UACGUAGGGUGCGAGCGUUAAUCGGAUUUACUGGGCGUAAAGCGUGCGCAGGCGGCCCGUUAAGACAGGUGUGAAAUCCCUGGGCUCAACCUAGGAAUUGCGCUUGUGACUGGCGGGCUCGAGUACGGUAGAGGGGGGUGGAAUACCUGGUGUAGCAGUGAAAUGCGUAGAGAUCAGGAGGAACACCGAUGGCGAAGGCAGCCCCCUGGGCAUGUACUGACGCUCAUGCACGAAAGCGUGGGGAGCAAACAGG
rnacentral:rRNA from 1 species